ensembl:snRNA U6 U6 spliceosomal RNA
GGUUGCUUUGGCAGCAUUAUACUAAAAUUGGAAUAAUGCAGAGAAGAUUAGCAUGGCCCCUGUGCAACGAUGACAUGGAAACUUCUGAAGUGUUCCAAAUUUUU